rnacentral:rRNA from 1 species
UAAUGCCCCAUAGCCCAAUACGCCUGGAACGGUGAGUGGGUCAAAGCCCCGGCGGCAUAGGAUGGGCCUGCGCCGUAUCAGUUUGUAGGGGGUGUAAAGUACCCUCUAGCCAUCAACGCGUACGGGUGUUGGGAGACAUUGCCCGGAGAUGGAUUCUGAGACACGAAUCCAGACCCUACGGGGUGCAGCAGGCGCGGAAACUUGGCAAUGCGAGAAAUCGUGACCAGGGAACUCCAAGUGCGUAGGGUAAGACCUACGCUUUUCUUGACUCUUCAAAGGUCUUGGAAUAAGGGGUGGGUAAGGACGGUGCCAGCCGCCGCGGUAAUACCGGCGCCUCAAGUGGUAGUCGCUUUUAUUGGGCCUAAAACGUCCGUAGCCGGUCUGGUGCAUUCGUGGGUAAAUCAACCCGCUCAACGGGUUGAAUUCUGCGAGCACGGCCAGACUUGGGACCGGGAGAGGUGUGGGGUACUCUCAGGGUAGGGGUAAAAUCCUGUCAUCCUGAGAGGACCACCUGUUGCGAAGGCGCCACACUAGAACGGAUCCGACGGUCAGGGACGAAACCUAGGGGCACGAACCGGAUUAGAUACCCGGGUAGUCCUAGGUGUAAACGCUGUGGACUUGAUGUUGGGGGCGCUCCGAGCGCUCUCAGUGUCGAAGCGAAGGUGAUAAGUCCACUGCCUGGGGAGUACGGUCGCAAGGCUGAAACUCAAAUGAAU